AAAACCCAAAAACAACUGAAUCACUGUUCCGUUCAUAAGAACAGUGUAGUUCCGAUUUUACCCUUACUUAGUUUGUGUUAUUACAUGUCUGCCAUUCGGUGUUGAGUUAUUGAGCUGUCGUUCACUCUCUUCGACAGCACAGCAAGAAAACUCAGUUUCCUCCUUCAUCUGUUCAUUCCUGCUCACUUCAAUUUGAACGAAAAAGAUCCCCAUCGAGUCCGGAAGGCCCCUUCCUGCAGCCCGUCCCCCGUCCAAAAACGAAGGUUGGAGUUGCUCUUAGUUUGUGUUAUUACAAGUCUCCAUAUCUCUUCCCUCCGUGACUCAGCUGACGACGACGGGCUAUUUCUGUUUGAAAGCCGGUGAAUCGGACCUCAACGUUUUACCAAUCGUCUCCCUUUCAUCUCAGGAACAAGAAACACUCGUUGCAUGCCUCGAUUCGUUACGGUUUCGAUGAGGAUUUUUUUAAUACUCCUCAGAGUUUUCCUACGUUUAUGCGACGAUUCCGGCAAAGGUCGGCGUCGAUGUUGGUCUCAAACUAUUCCUCAGCACCUCAGGACAUGGUAGGAGAUAAUUCUUCUUCAUUGUGAACAUUCAGGGUUCAUGGAUUGUUAAGCAAUGUGUGGGAAGAAAGCAUGCCCCAUUGAUCAGGCACUUGAAAUCAAUUAUUUCCACGAGAAGAACUAUUUGGAGGACAUGCAAAUCCAUUUUGAGUAAAUAGUGAUCAAACAAAGAAAUUUUGAAGUAAUUCCAAUUGGAGUGGGUUCAUGAGUCUUUCAAGAUGAUUGUGUCAAAAUUUCAGAUUUUUACUUCAUGCCAUUUGACCAUGGUGAAGAAAUAAGUGCUGAUUGCGUGGCUUUCCCAAAUUGACCUUUUUGGAUGUUUUUGGGCAUUUUGACGAUCAAGAUGGCAUUUUUAGAGGAAAGGUACUUCUGAGGUUUUGAAAAGGGCAUGCCUAGCUUUAAAAAUAAGACCUUUUGGGACCAAAUCAAAGCUAAUUUGUAUGGAUGAUCUUCACUAUGAAGAUUAAGAAAUUAAGUUGUUUCGAUUAUGAAAUUUCUACAGUGAAAAUAUGUUAUUUGCAAGUGGGAGAGUGAGCUUAUCUCCAAACGGGAUAAUGCAAGUACUAUUCUUCUUUUAAUCAAGUUUAUCACUUUUGAAUUCACAAGAAA